UCCUGUAAAAUAUUAAAAUCUAAUUAAGACUAUAAUUUGACAACAGUUUACCAAAACCUAGGCACAAAACAAACCUAUUUAAGAACAUUGCGAAAUACAUUUUUUUAAUCUGUAUUCCAUCCUUCAUCCAGUUGUCACUUGACAUUGUUUUUUUUAUGAUUUUUUUCAACAUUUUCAGAAAGUGUUUACUGUGUUGGUUAAAACAAAUACUGUUGGAAUAAUGGUUAGACUUAGCGUGUUAUCAUUUUCUUCUCUAUUACUUGGUACCCUUAUGUUUGGAACUGGGUUGGCUUGCUAUCUCAAAGACUUGAGUUUAUACGAAAAAGAUGAGGCACAUAAUGCAAUCCUACGAGUUUUCAUCGGCAGCGUGGUCAUUGUAUUCGUUCCUAUCGUGUAUGCAUCGUUGACCAGCUGUGGAGCAAUGCCUGGAGUUCUCAAUAGUGCGGGUUGAGCCGGAGGGCGGCGCGACCAGGAAGCGGCCGGGGGCGUGUAUUCGGCAACAGUCGCAGAACGCGCCACCGCCGCGCCUGCGACGGAGACACUGCUAAGAGGCGAAUAGCUGAAGAACAGUUUGGUGUAUUGAAGCAAAAAUUGAGAAGUAAGUGGAGAAUACAAUCGUAUUUUCAAGGUUCGUGAGUCUUUUAUAACAUUGCAAGUGGUCUCCGAUUAUAGAAAAUGAAGAGAAAUAAACCUUACGAUUCUCACAUUUGCGUCGAAUUUACGCGUUGAAAAAGUAAGUCACUGCGUGUGAAGAUAUACAUUGGUCUUCUUGAAUAAAAUUUGAAGUUUAA